rnacentral:rRNA from 1 species
CCUACGGGAGGCAGCAGUGAGGAAUAUUGGUCAAUGGGCGCGAGCCUGAACCAGCCAAGUCGCGUGAGGGAAGACGGUCCUAUGGAUUGGAAACCUCUUUUGUCGGGGAGCAAAAGACGCCACGCGUGGCGUUCCGAGAGUACCCGAAGAAAAAGCAUCGGCUAACUCCGUGCCAGCCGCCGCGGUAAUACGGAGGAUGCGAGCGUUAUCCGGAUUUAUUGGGUUUAAGGGGUGCGCAGGCGGAAGAUCAAGUCAGCGGUAAAAUUGAGAGGCUCAACCUCUUCGAGCCGUUGAAACUGGUUUUCUGGAGUGAGUGAGAGGUAUGCGGAAUGCGAGGUGUAGCGGUGAAAUGCAUAGAUAUGACGAAGAACUCCGAUGGCGAAGGCAGCAUACCGGCGCUCAACUGACGCUCAUGCACGAAAGUGUGGGUAUCGAACAGGAUUAGAUACCCGGGUAGUC